AUACGGAAGGUCCGGGCGUUAUCCGGAUUUAUUGGGUUUAAAGGGAGCGCAGGCGGAGAUGCAAGCGUGACGUCAAAUUUCGGGGCUCAACCCCGUCUCGCGUCGCGAACUGCGUCCCUUGGUUGCGGGAAGGGGAGGCGGAACUCGUGGUGUUGCGGGGGAAUGCAUAGAUAUCACGAAGAACUCCGAUCGCGAAGGCAGCCUUCCGGCCCGUCAACGACGCUCAUGCUCGAAGGUGCGGGUAUCAAACAGGAUUAGAUACCCUGGUAGUCCGCACAGUAAACGAUUGACUCCCGCGGUUUGGCCUGUAUGGCUGAGCCGCCAAGCGAAAGCGUUAAGUGUCCCACCUGGGGAGUACGCCGGCAACGGUGAAACUUAAAGGAAUUGACGGGG
rnacentral:rRNA from 1 species